rnacentral:rRNA from 1 species
UGGGGAAUAUUGGACAAUGGGCGAAAGCCUGAUCCAGCCAUGCCGCGUGUGUGAAGAAGGUCUUCGGAUUGUAAAGCACUUUAAGUUGGGAGGAAGGGCAUUAACCUAAUACGUUAGUGUUUUGACGUUACCGACAGAAUAAGCACCGGCUAACUCUGUGCCAGCAGCCGCGGUAAUACAGAGGGUGCAAGCGUUAAUCGGAAUUACUGGGCGUAAAGCGCGCGUAGGUGGUUUGUUAAGUUGGAUGUGAAAUCCCCGGGCUCAACCUGGGAACUGCAUUCAAAACUGACUGACUAGAGUAUGGUAGAGGGUGGUGGAAUUUCCUGUGUAGCAGUGAAAUGCGUAGAUAUAGGAAGGAACACCAGUUGCGAAGGCGACCACCUGGACUAAUACUGACACUGAGGUGCGAAAGCGUGGGGAGCAAACA